UACGGGGGGGAGCAAGCGUUGUUCGGAUUUACUGGGCGUAAAGGGCGCGUAGGCGGUCGUGACAAGUCACUUGUGAAAUCUCCGGGCUUAACUCGGAAAGGUCAAGUGAUACUGUCGGACUAGAGUACAGAAGGGGCAACUGGAAUUCUCGGUGUAGCGGUGAAAUGCGUAGAUAUCGAGAGGAACACCUGCGGCGAAGGCGGGUAGCUGGGCCGCACACUGACGCUG
rnacentral:rRNA from 1 species